UCUCUCUCUUCUUUCUCUCUCUAAAAGUGAAAAAACCCUAAUUUUGUCCACUUGUAGAAUCUUUUGGAUCUAUCUCUUUGGAGGUUUGGAUGAGAUUUAAGGCAUCAAGGAGAAGCAUUUGGAGGAAGAAGACAACCACCUCAAUCUAUACUUCUCCCAUUCGAAGAAGAAGAGGUUUUCUUGAUAUUCUUGAGAGAUCAAGGAGCAUCUUGAGAAAGAUCUAAAAAAAGAUUCUACCACCACCAGUGAGGCGCAAUACCGCAGCAACAGUGUUGUGGAGUAGUUUAGACUAAGUGAGAGGUUUAUAGUGUAUCUUUACAAGAACAAUAAAAAUUGUUAUAUUUUAGAAUGGUUUAAGAUGCUAUAACUUUAAAAAA